CGUAUAUAUUUAUUCUUAAUGCGGAAGCGAAAUAAAAUAGAUUAUGAUUAACAUCUCUUACACAAUAAGCAAAACGAAUUAAAGUAUGAAAAAAUAAAUUAACUUAAAGAAAAUACUAUGAAAGAAUACUGUGAGGAAAACUAAUAAAUUCUUUUACUUCUACUCGCCGUCUUCCUGCAGAACGGGUUCGGAAACUAAAUUCUCCUGAUCUGAAAUGGUUAAUUAAGGAAUAAGCUACACUAUCCCAGCAAAGACAUCAUACUAUCUCACUGUCAUAAAAGUAAAGGUUGAUAGAAAACGAAAACGACCAAUUGAGCAUAAUUUAUACAAACUCAUUUAUCAAUAAUAAAACCCUUUACUGUCCACCUACCUCGGUGAUAUUCAUGAAAAUAAUUUAUGAAAAUAAUUACAUCAUAAAUAUCAUAAGAUCACGCACACUCUGCAACAUAACACAUAUCAUGUUUUUGUAUUUCAAUCAUCAGGCAACAAUUAUCCCCUUUUAUUCAGCCUACUAGUAUUCAUGGGGAUCCAUAGGGGGUCUCCGCUACACGUGAACCAUUCACAUUAAUAACUGAAUUCUAGGGCCGUCCCCAUACCCCGUCCGGUAUGAGCCCUAAAACUAUAAACCUCAAUACUCCGUCCGGUAUGAGGGUGAAACGAGCCGUCCCCAUACCCCGUUCGGUAUGGGCGCCAAAACACAUAAGGUCUCCAUACCCCGUCCGAUAUGAGAGACCACGUUCCCGGUAGGGUUCCCUAUGGACCCGGUCCGUCUACCAUCUCUCAGGAUAUCUAGUGAGGCUGUAGACAUUAUCCAUUAUCAAUUCACAUAUAUUUUUACCAUUUUUCUUAAUCUCAAUUAUUCAAUCAAAUACAAAAUACGUAAACUAGUAAUGGACACCAAACAAGACAACACAACAUCGGGUUCACAAUAAUUCAAAGCAUAAUAAAUGAAACCGUGAUUCAUGCAUAUGAAACCAUAAAAUAAACACAUCAGACACCAUACUGCAUUCAAAACUGUAAAAUAAAUCAAACAACACCUGACCGAAAAUUUAUCAGAUUCGAGCUCCAUUAACAACCUUAAUCAAUUAUACAUAUCUAUUAAUUCAUAAAAUACCGUUUUAUCAUUUAUUAGGCUUUAAUGUCGUGAUAGAAAAUAGGGUGAGAGAUUCUUACUUGUUUCGGAGUCUGAAAUCGGGUUCCACUGCGUCUACGAGCAGUCCCUAGAUUCCCUGAAUUUUUUCCCGGGAACUGAAACACACUUCCGGU
rnacentral:lncRNA from 1 species